ACAAUGAAGAGUUUGAUCCUGGCUCAGGAUGAACGCUAGCGGCAGGCUUAACACAUGCAAGUCGAGGGGUAACAGGGUGCUUGCACCGCUGACGACCGGCGAACGGGUGCGUAACGCGUAUAGAAUCUGCCUUGUACAGGAGGAUAGCCUUUAGAAAUGAAGAUUAAUAC
rnacentral:rRNA from 1 species